rnacentral:rRNA from 1 species
UACGUAGGGCGCAAGCGUUGUCCGGAAUGAUUGGGCGUAAAGAGCUCGUAGGCGGUCCGUCACGUCCGCUGUGAAAACCCAGGGCUCAACCCUGGGCUUGCAGUGGAUACGGGCAGACUAGAGGUAGGUAGGGGAGAAUGGAAUUCCCGGUGUAGCGGUGAAAUGCGCAGAUAUCGGGAGGAACACCGGUGGCGAAGGCGGUUCUCUGGGCCUUACCUGACGCUGAGGAGCGAAAGCGUGGGGAGCGAACAGG